CACACUAUCAUUAACUGAAUCCAUAGGUUAAUGAGGCGAACCGGGGGAACUGAAACAUCUAAGUACCCCGAGGAAAAGAAAUCAACCGAGAUUCCCCCAGUAGCGGCGAGCGAACGGGGAGGAGCCCAGAGCCUGAAUCAGUGUGUGUGUUAGUGGAAGCGUCUGGAAAGGCGCGCGAUACAGGGUGACAGCCCCGUACACAAAAAUGCACAUGCUGUGAGCUCGAUGAGUAGGGCGGGACACGUGGUAUCCUGUCUGAAUAUGGGGGGACCAUCCUCCAAGGCUAAAUACUCCUGACUGACCGAUAGUGAACCAGUACCGUGAGGGAAAGGCGAAAAGAACCCCGGCGAGGGGAGUGAAAAAGAACCUGAAACCGUGUACGUACAAGCAGUGGGAGCACGCUUAGGCGUGUGACUGCGUACCUUUUGUAUAAUGGGUCAGCGACUUAUAUUCUGUAGCAAGGUUAACCGAAUAGGGGAGCCGAAGGGAAACCGAGUCUUAACUGGGCGUUAAGUUGCAGGGUAUAGACCCGAAACCCGGUGAUCUAGCCAUGGGCAGGUUGAAGGUUGGGUAACACUAACUGGAGGACCGAACCGACUAAUGUUGAAAAAUUAGCGGAUGACUUGUGGCUGGGGGUGAAAGGCCAAUCAAACCGGGAGAUAGCUGGUUCUCCCCGAAAGCUAUUUAGGUAGCGCCUCGUGAAUUCAUCUCCGGGGGUAGAGCACUGUUUCGGCAAGGGGGUCAUCCCGACUUACCAACCCGAUGCAAACUGCGAAUACCGGAGAAUGUUAUCACGGGAGACACACGGCGGGUGCUAACGUCCGUCGUGAAGAGGGAAACAACCCAGACCGCCAGCUAAGGUCCCAAAGUCAUGGUUAAGUGGGAAACGAUGUGGGAAGGCCCAGACAGCCAGGAUGUUGGCUUAGAAGCAGCCAUCAUUUAAAGAAAGCGUAAUAGCUCACUGGUCGAGUCGGCCUGCGCGGAAGAUGUAACGGGGCUAAACCAUGCACCGAAGCUGCGGCAGCGACGCUGAUGCGUUGUUGGGUAGGGGAGCGUUCUGUAAGCCUGCGAAGGUGUGCUGUGAGGCAUGCUGGAGGUAUCAGAAGUGCGAAUGCUGACAUAAGUAACGAUAAAGCGGGUGAAAAGCCCGCUCGCCGGAAGACCAAGGGUUCCUGUCCAACGUUAAUCGGGGCAGGGUGAGUCGACCCCUAAGGCGAGGCCGAAAGGCGUAGUCGAUGGGAAACAGGUUAAUAUUCCUGUACUUGGUGUUACUGCGAAGGGGGGACGGAGAAGGCUAUGUUGGCCGGGCGACGGUUGUCCCGGUUUAAGCGUGUAGGCUGGUUUUCCAGGCAAAUCCGGAAAAUCAAGGCUGAGGCGUGAUGACGAGGCACUACGGUGCUGAAGCAACAAAUGCCCUGCUUCCAGGAAAAGCCUCUAAGCAUCAGGUAACAUCAAAUCGUACCCCAAACCGACACAGGUGGUCAGGUAGAGAAUACCAAGGCGCUUGAGAGAACUCGGGUGAAGGAACUAGGCAAAAUGGUGCCGUAACUUCGGGAGAAGGCACGCUGAUAUGUAGGUGAAGCGACUUGCUCGUGGAGCUGAAAUCAGUCGAAGAUACCAGCUGGCUGCAACUGUUUAUUAAAAACACAGCACUGUGCAAACACGAAAGUGGACGUAUACGGUGUGACGCCUGCCCGGUGCCGGAAGGUUAAUUGAUGGGGUUAGCGCAAGCGAAGCUCUUGAUCGAAGCCCCGGUAAACGGCGGCCGUAACUAUAACGGUCCUAAGGUAGCGAAAUUCCUUGUCGGGUAAGUUCCGACCUGCACGAAUGGCGUAAUGAUGGCCAGGCUGUCUCCACCCGAGACUCAGUGAAAUUGAACUCGCUGUGAAGAUGCAGUGUACCCGCGGCAAGACGGAAAGACCCCGUGAACCUUUACUAUAGCUUGACACUGAACAUUGAGCCUUGAUGUGUAGGAUAGGUGGGAGGCUUUGAAGUGUGGACGCCAGUCUGCAUGGAGCCGACCUUGAAAUACCACCCUUUAAUGUUUGAUGUUCUAACGUGGACCCGUAAUCCGGGUUGCGGACAGUGUCUGGUGGGUAGUUUGACUGGGGCGGUCUCCUCCUAAAGAGUAACGGAGGAGCACGAAGGUUGGCUAAUCCUGGUCGGACAUCAGGAGGUUAGUGCAAUGGCAUAAGCCAGCUUGACUGCGAGCGUGACGGCGCGAGCAGGUGCGAAAGCAGGUCAUAGUGAUCCGGUGGUUCUGAAUGGAAGGGCCAUCGCUCAACGGAUAAAAGGUACUCCGGGGAUAACAGGCUGAUACCGCCCAAGAGUUCAUAUCGACGGCGGUGUUUGGCACCUCGAUGUCGGCUCAUCACAUCCUGGGGCUGAAGUAGGUCCCAAGGGUAUGGCUGUUCGCCAUUUAAAGUGGUACGCGAGCUGGGUUUAGAACGUCGUGAGACAGUUCGGUCCCUAUCUGCCGUGGGCGCUGGAGAACUGAGGGGGGCUGCUCCUAGUACGAGAGGACCGGAGUGGACGCAUCACUGGUGUUCGGGUUGUCAUGCCAAUGGCACUGCCCGGUAGCUAAAUGCGGAAGAGAUAAGUGCUGAAAGCAUCUAAGCACGAAACUUGCCCCGAGAUGAGUUCUCCCUGACUCCUUGAGAGUCCUGAAGGAACGUUGAAGACGACGACGUUGAUAGGCCGGGUGUGUAAGCGCAGCGAUGCGUUGAGCUAACCGGUACUAAUGAACCGUGAGGCUUAACCUU
rnacentral:rRNA from 1 species